UGGUGGGUAGUUUGACUGGGGCGGUCUCCUCCUAAAGAGUAACGGAGGAGCACGAAGGUUGGCUAAUCCUGGUCGGACAUCAGGAGGUUAGUGCAAUGGCAUAAGCCAGCUUGACUGCGAGCGUGACGGCGCGAGCAGGUGCGAAAGCAGGUCAUAGUGAUCCGGUGGUUCUGAAUGGAAGGGCCAUCGCUCAACGGAUAAAAGGUACUCCGGGGAUAACAGGCUGAUACCGCCCAAGAGUUCAUAUCGACGGCGGUGUUUGGCACCUCGAUGUCGGCUCAUCACAUCCUGGGGCUGAAGUAGGUCCCAAGGGUAUGGCUGUUCGCCAUUUAAAGUGGUACGCGAGCUGGGUUUAGAACGUCGUGAGACAGUUCGGUCCCUAUCUGCCGUGGGCGCUGGAGAACUGAGGGGGGCUGCUCCUAGUACGAGAGGACCGGAGUGGACGCAUCACUGGUGUUCGGGUUGUCAUGCCAAUGGCACUGCCCGGUAGCUAAAUGCGGAAGAGAUAAGUGCUGAAAGCAUCUAAGCACGAAACUUGCCCCGAGAUGAGUUCUCCCUGACUCCUUGAGAGUCCUGAAGGAACGUUGAAGACGACGACGUUGAUAGGCCGGGUGUGUAAGCGCAGCGAUGCGUUGAGCUAACCGGUACUAAUGAACCGUGAGGCUUAACCUUACAACGC
rnacentral:rRNA from 1 species